GCUAUAUCUGGCCCAUUCGAUGCCUCAUGUUCCGUUGUUCGUCUCGGACAAAUUCAGAGGCAAGUCGAAGCGAGGUUUGUACGGCGACGUCAUCGCGGAAAUUGACUGGAGCGUCGGGCAAAUCCUGGAGAGGCUCAAAGCGAUCGGCAUCGAUGAGCGGACGCUGGUCGUCUACACCUCGGACAACGGGCCGUGGCUGGACUACGGCAUCGACGGUGGCUCGGCCGGUCCUCUUCGGGAUGGCAAGAGCACGGU
rnacentral:rRNA from 1 species